AGAUUAGCAAUUCCCUGUUAAGUAAAUGAACAUGAAAUUCAAAGGGAAACAGGAGCAAUAAUCAUUACCAGCUGCCGUGUUAAGCAUUGCGAAAACGCUCACGAUUCACAGAAAAAUCCAUGCUGUUCUUUGAAGGCAUUCAAGCCUUAAUAGCUAGCUGGAUGAAUGUUUAACUUCUAGGCCAGGCACUACUCUGUCCCAACAAUAAGCCCUGUACAUUGGGAAAGGUGCCGAGACAUGAACUUUGGUCUUCUCUGCAAUCCAUCUGGAGCAUUCAGUGACAACAUCGACUUUGAAGUUGCACUGACCUGGCCAGCCCUGCCACUUACCAGGUUGGAUAACACUAACAAAGUUGACCUUAGAAUUGGAGUGCCUGGGUUAGAACCCUGCUGGUACCACCUGCUUACUGCAUGCUUCUGAUGUGAGUUCAGGAGAAGACACUGGCAAGGACAGCAAAGAACAGGAGAACACUCUAGCUUCCCUGAUAGCAUUCAAGGUGCUGUCCAAAUUCUUGAAUCCAGUUCAUGAAUCAAGGGAGAUCCUUGGAUGUCUGAUGGCUGCUAUUCUGUUUCUCAAACAAUUUGAAUUCAGCAAGCCAUCACUGAAGAUAUGGAGUCACACAGUCAAGUUUAAAUCCAUGCUAUGCUAUUUAAAACUUGCAAUUUUUGCUUCAGUUUCUGAAACGGUAAGGGGCACAGGGAUAAUACAGUCUGCUUACCAUAUGGGUGAAGAUGUGGGGGAAGAUUAAAUACAUUGUUCUUACAUGAAAUUGUAAAUAGAAAGCUCCUCCACAGUAAGCUAUCAGCUAAAGCUAGUUUACUUUCCACUGCUCUUCAAUAACGGAAA
rnacentral:lncRNA from 1 species